rnacentral:rRNA from 1 species
UAAUGUCUGGGAAACUGCCUGAUGGAGGGGGAUAACUACUGGAAACGGUAGCUAAUACCGCAUAAUGUCGCAAGACCAAAGAGGGGGACCUUCGGGCCUCUUGCCAUCGGAUGUGCCCAGAUGGGAUUAGCUAGUAGGUGGGGUAAAGGCUCACCUAGGCGACGAUCCCUAGCUGGUCUGAGAGGAUGACCAGCCACACUGGAACUGAGACACGGUCCAGACUCCUACGGGAGGCAGCAGUGGGGAAUAUUGCACAAUGGGCGCAAGCCUGAUGCAGCCAUGCCGCGUGUAUGAAGAAGGCCUUCGGGUUGUAAAGUACUUUCAGCGGGGAGGAAGGGAGUAAAGUUAAUACCUUUGCUCAUUGACGUUACCCGCAGAAGAAGCACCGGCUAACUCCGUGCCAGCAGCCGCGGUAAUACGGAGGGUGCAAGCGUUAAUCGGAAUUACUGGGCGUAAAGCGCACGCAGGCGGUUUGUUAAGUCAGAUGUGAAAUCCCCGGGCUCAACCUGGGAACUGCAUCUGAUACUGGCAAGCUUGAGUCUCGUAGAGGGGGGUAGAAUUCCAGGUGUAGCGGUGAAAUGCGUAGAGAUCUGGAGGAAUACCGGUGGCGAAGGCGGCCCCCUGGACGAAGACUGACGCUCAGGUGCGAAAGCGUGGGGAGCAAACAGGAUUAGAUACCCUGGUAGUCCACGCCGUAAACGAUGUCGACUUGGAGGUUGUGCCCUUGAGGCGUGGCUUCCGGAGCUAACGCGUUAAGUCGACCGCCUGGGGAGUACGGCCGCAAGGUUAAAACUCAAAUGAAUUGACGGGGGCCCGCACAAGCGGUGGAGCAUGUGGUUUAAUUCGAUGCAACGCGAAGAACCUUACCUGGUCUUGACAUCCACAGAACUUUCCAGAGAUGGAUUGGUGCCUUCGGGAACUGUGAGACAGGUGCUGCAUGGCUGUCGUCAGCUCGUGUUGUGAAAUGUUGGGUUAAGUCCCGCAACGAGCGCAACCCUUAUCCUUUGUUGCCAGCGGUCCGGCCGGGAACUCAAAGGAGACUGCCAGUGAUAAACUGGAGGAAGGUGGGGAUGACGUCA